GUAACGCGUAUGCAAUCUACCUUAUACAGGGGAAUAGCCCAGAGAAAUUUGGAUUAAUGCCCCAUGGUAUUAUAGAGUGGCAUCACUUUAUAAUUAAAGUUCCAACGGUAUAAGAUGAGUAUGCGUCCCAUUAGUUAGUUGGUAAGGUAACGGCUUACCAAGACGAUGAUGGGUAGGGGUCCUGAGAGGGAGAUCCCCCACACUGGUACUGAGACACGGACCAGACUCCUACGGGAGGCAGCAGUGAGGAAUAUUGGUCAAUGGGCGCAAGCCUGAACCAGCCAUGCCGCGUGCAGGAAGACGGUCCUAUGGAUUGUAAACUGCUUUUAUACAGGAAGAAACCCUCCCACGUGUGGGAGAUUGACGGUACUGUAGGAAUAAGGAUCGGCUAACUCCGUGCCAGCAGCCGCGGUAAUACGGAGGAUCCAAGCGUUAUCCGGAAUCAUUGGGUUUAAAGGGUCCGUAGGCGGUCUUAUAAGUCAGUGGUGAAAUCCCAUCGCUCAACGAUGGAACUGCCAUUGAUACUGUAAGACUUGAAUACUUAGGAAGUAACUAGAAUAUGUAGUGUAGCGGUGAAAUGCUUAGAUAUUACAUGGAAUACCAAUUGCGAAGGCAGGUUACUACUAAGUGAUUGACGCUGAUGGA
rnacentral:rRNA from 1 species